CUCAUCCGAGGCCCCGUAAUCGGAAUGAGAACAUCCUAAAUCCUUUAACGAGGAUCUAUUGGAGGGCAAGUCUGGUGCCAGCAGCCGCGGUAAUUCCAGCUCCAAUAGCGUAUAUUAAAGUUGUUGCGGUUAAAAAGCUCGUAGUUGGUUCUGCGUGCCACGCUGUCGGUUCACCGCCUGUCGGUGCAACUGGCAUGCCGUGGCAUGUCCUGUCGGUGGCGGAUAGGCUUCGCAACGCUCCCUGCACAACUAUUGUGUAGGUCGUCGUGUCGUCCUUGUACGCCGGCUCAAUCCUGCCGCGGUGCUCUUUACCGAGUGUCGAGGUAGGCCGACACAUUUUACUUUGAACAAAUUAGAGUGCUUAAAGCAGGCUCUUAAAUCAGCCUGAAUAGUGGUGCAUGGAAUAAUGGAACAGGACCUUGGUUCUAUUUUGUUGGUUUUAGGAAUCCAAGGUAAUGAUCAAUAAGGACAGGCGGGGGCAUUCGUAUUGCGACGUUAGAGGUGAAAUUCUUGGAUCGUCGCAAGACGCACUAGAGCGAAAGC
rnacentral:rRNA from 1 species